GAGAAAUUGUGAGAGAAGAGAGUUGGAGAAAAUUCUAGUUGAAGAGGGGAAAUUCUGGAAGUUUCUGGAGAACGGUUUGAGAAGAUGAACCUAAGUCUGGAAUAGAGAUGAGGAAACGACGUCUGAACCAAUUCAAGCGAAGGAGGAAGCAGCAGAAAAAUGAAGAAUAUUUUAAGAAGAAGAAAAAUAAAAUAAAAUAAAAUUAAGAGUGUUUUAUUUUUGUGUGA
rnacentral:sRNA from 1 species